rnacentral:rRNA from 1 species
AUUGAACGCUGGCGGCAGGCCUAACACAUGCAAGUCGAGCGGAUGAAGGGAGCUUGCUCCUGGAUUCAGCGGCGGACGGGUGAGUAAUGCCUAGGAAUCUGCCUGGUAGUGGGGGAUAACGUCCGGAAACGGGCGCUAAUACCGCAUACGUCCUGAGGGAGAAAGUGGGGGAUCUUCGGACCUCACGCUAUCAGAUGAGCCUAGGUCGGAUUAGCUAGUUGGUGGGGUAAAGGCCUACCAAGGCGACGAUCCGUAACUGGUCUGAGAGGAUGAUCAGUCAACGGGGAAUUGAGACACGGGCCAGAGGCCGCAGGGACGCACCAGUAGGGAAUUUGCCGCAAUGGUCGAAAUCUUGACGGAGCUAUGCGGCGGGAGUGAGGAAGGUAUUCGGAUCGUAAGACUCUGUUAGUAGGGAAGAACAUAUGUGUAAGUAACUGUGCACAUCUUGACCGUACCUAAUCAGAGAGCCACGGCUCGCUACGUG